CGGGCUUGCGUUGCCAUGCACGGGGUGCAAAUCUCCUGCACGGUACAUUCCCGUUGCAAUGCACAGCAAUGAUAACAGGGGGUCCACUGCACCUGCAUUGCAGUGCUCUGGGUGCAGAGUGUUCAGGGUGCAAUGCACAUGUUGCAAUGCACUUGCAUUCUGAUGCCCGGGCUGCAAAUCUCCAACACCAUCCAUUCCCAUUGCAAUACACAGCAGCAGUGCAGGAGGUGCAAACUGCACUCAUUGCAAUCCUCUGGGUGCAAGGUGUUCCAGGUGCAAUGCACGGGUUGCAAAGUGCUUGCAUUGUGAUGCACAGGAUGCAAAUGUUGCAGGCAACACGUGCCCAUUGCAAUGCACAGCAGCAGUGCAGGAGCUGCAAAGUGGCUGCGUUGCAACCAUCGAGGUGUGCAGUGCUCACGUUGCAAUGCACGUGUUGCAAUGGGCUUGCAUUCUGAUGCACGGGCUGCCAAUCUCCAGCACAAUCCCUUCCCGUUGCAAUGCACAGCAGCAGUGCAGGAGCUGCCAAGCAGCUGCGUUGCAACCCUCGAGGUGUGCGGUGCUCACGUUGCAAUGCACGUGUUGCAACGAGGUUGCAUUCCUAUGCACGGGCUGCAAAUCCCAGUAUGACCCCAUUGCCCCCCCAUUCUAAUCCCAGUUUAAUCCCAGUAUAACCCCAUUAUAACCCCAUUACAAUCCCAUUGCCGCCUCAUUCUAAUCCCAGUAUAACCCCAUUAUACUCCCAGUAUGAUCCCAAUAGAACCCCAUUCUAAUCCCAGUAUAACCCCAUUGCCCCCAUUGGAAUCCCAUUACCACCCCAUUCUAAUCCCAGUAUGAUCCCAGUACAACCCCAUUAUAACCCCAUUAUAAUCCCAUUGCCCCCCAUUCUAACCCCA
ensembl:lncRNA